GAUGAACGCUGACAGAAUGCUUAACACAUGCAAGUCAACUGUGGCGGACGGGUGAGUAACGCGUACAGAACUUGCCUCACAGUUAGGGAGCACAUUUGGAAGCGAAUGCUAAUACAUGAUACUUUGAGAGAGCUUUGCGUCCCAUUAGCUAGUUGGAGAGGUAACGGCUCACCAAGGCGAUGAUGGGUAGCCGGCCUGAGAAGGUGAUCGGCCACAAGGGGACAGGGACACGGCCCUUAGUCCUAAGUGCGGCAGGAGUGGGGGAUAUUUGACAACGGACCACAGUCUGAUGCAGCAAUUCUGUGUGCACGAUGAAGUUUUCGGAAUGUAAAGUGUUUUCAGUUGGGAAGCGGUACCAACAGAAGAAGUGACGGCUAAAUACGUGCCAGCAGCCGCGGUAAUAC
rnacentral:rRNA from 1 species